GAGGAGGGAGUCGAGGGAGCCGGCGUCCAUCUGCUCGAGGAGGACCGCCACAUCACCGGAUGGGGGGAGGAUGACACCGUGGAAGCGGACGACGAAGGGGGAGUCGGUGUGCCGGAGGAUCUCGACCUCGCGGGAGACCUGGCGGCGGAGGGAGGCGUCGGUGUCGGUGUGGAGGAGCUUCAGAGCGUACACCGCCGCCGUUCGGCGGUGACGGACCUUGUAGACCGUGCCGCCGUUGCCGUGGCCAAGCACCUGGAGCUUCUCGAAGUCGGAGAGGCGGUGCUCGGAGGUGGAGGCGGAGGCGGAGGCGGCGACAGCUGGGGGAGCGGGGAGGGGCAAGCGGAGGCGGCAGUCGCCGGUGGCGGAGGCGGAGUCUGGGAGGGGGA
rnacentral:lncRNA from 1 species